UCCACAUUUUUUUUCUUCUUUCCCGAACUUUUGCGGUUCUCUGCUUCUUUACGUUCUUCUUGCUCUUUCUUUUUAUUUCUCUUCUUUUGCUUUUUGAUUCAAAAUUUUAUGCGGAUGUGAGAAUUCCUUGCUCAUUAUCUUGUUUGGUGCUCUAAUUUGGUUGGGCAAGAGUUUGAUUCGCUAGUAUGGUGUGUACAGACCCAAUCUUACCCGGGCAUAGUGCCAAAAAUAUUAACCCAAUCUGGCCCAAAUACAAAGCCCAUCUAACUACCCAAAACAGACUCAGUACCCCAAGACCCAAUUACAAUGAACAGCCCAAUGACCCAAUAACCUAAAGCAAUCAGGAAACCCUAAUCCCCCUAACCCUAUUGCGCCGCACCCCCUGCUUCCUGACUUCCACGCCGCCGCCGUCACCCACCCUCAGCCAUCGCCAUUGUUUCGUCCACCUGCUCCACCAGCUUCUCUGACACCUGCAAAACAGAGCAAACACGCAAAGAGCAGCAAAAAAUAAUAGAAAUAGAUAGGUUAUAAAAGCAAAAACACCAUCUUUGUAUUUUUUAACGACUACUGAAAUAAAAUAAAAAAGCAGAUCUAAAGAAAAGGUUGAUUCCGAUUUUUUUUCUCUUUUCUUGUUAUUUAUUUUAUUUUAUUUUUUUGUUGUUCAUUUUCUACUUUUUUUUUACAAAUCAAAACGGAAAAGGAAGGGGAAGGAGGUACUUACCGGUUUCGAAAGCCCGUCGCCAGAGAUCUUCUUCGGUGUUGGAAUCGGACCGAGAAAGGGACGAAAGGUCUCUCCUUUUUUCGGCUUGUUGGUCUGGAGGAUCGGGCCUUAAGGUGGAGGUCGAGAAUGGAGUUAAAAACCCCUCUUUUUCUAAAUCUGACCACCGCCCCUGACAGAGCCUCGGCCACGGAACGGCCGCUCGCCGGCGUGGGCCAUGUUUGGCUACUGGGAAUUUUGAGGGAGGGAGAGAAAAG
rnacentral:lncRNA from 1 species